rnacentral:rRNA from 1 species
ACGUAUCCGACCUGCCGUCUACUCUUGGACAGCCUUCUGAAAGGAAGAUCAAUACAAGAUGGCAUCAUGAGUCCGCAUGUUCACAUGAUUAAAGGUAUUCCGGUAGACGAUGGGGAUGCGUUCCAUUAGAUAGUAGGCGGGGUAACGGCCCACCUAGUCUUCGAUGGAUAGGGGUUCUGAGAGGAAGGUCCCCCACAUUGGAACUGAGACACGGUCCAAACUCCUACGGGAGGCAGCAGUGAGGAAUAUUGGUCAAUGGGCGAGAGCCUGAACCAGCCAAGUAGCGUGAAGGAUGACUGCCCUAUGGGUUGUAAACUUCUUUUAUAAAGGAAUAAAGUCGGGUAUGGAUACCCGUUUGCAUGUACUUUAUGAAUAAGGAUCGGCUAACUCCGUGCCAGCAGCCGCGGUAAUACGGAGGAUCCGAGCGUUAUCCGGAUUUAUUGGGUUUAAAGGGAGCGUAGAUGGAUGUUUAAGUCAGUUGUGAAAGUUUGCGGCUCAACCGUAAAAUUGCAGUUGAUACUGGAUAUCUUGAGUGCAGUUGAGGCAGGCGGAAUUCGUGGUGUAGCGGUGAAAUGCUUAGA